AAACACAUUUAAAUGGAAAAAUGAGUUUUUCCAUUAUCUAUCACUUAAUUAGCUCACUCAUGAAGCAACUAUUUUGCCUUGUCUUCUCCAAGCAUGAGCUGCAACUCAUGCAUCUCUUCUCUUUGCAUGUUGAUCUGCAAUAUAGUGAGAAGAUUGGAGUGAAAAUCGGGCAUGCAAUCUACAGAAUUUUGAGAGAAAAUUCAGUUUGAAGAAAUGUUCUUCAACAAAGGUUGCUUGCAGUGAGCUAUUCUCCUUCAUCCUUUGAUUUAAGCUUGUUUUGAGUCCCACAACUCAAUCUAGAGCACCAAAAGAAUAGUGGGGAAGAUCUUGAGAUGGUCUACAACAAGAUAUGGAGAAGAUUGCAGCUGGAGAUGGAGCUUUGAAGAAGUUCUUCAAGAGAGCUCACACCUCCUGGAUUUUCACUCCGAGAAUACCAAGGUUACUAAUGGUGGUGUUCGAGAGGUUGCUUGUUUGUGGAGAAGUUUGUUCGUGAUUGACCAGACAAUUGAGUAGACGAUCGUAGCGAUAGCGAGAGGUGCUGGUCCAAGUCUUCACAAGAGUGAGAGAUCUGUGGAAGAAGAGUUCUUCAAAGGUAAGUCUUUCACUCCUUUUGUAUUUAAUUACUAAAGCAUGUUGUAAGUUUGUUAAAGAUGCACAACUAAUUUGUAUGUUUGUGAAUGUUUGUAAUUCUGUUACAAUGAAUUUGAAUCGAUUGUGCUUCCGCUCAUGGAUUCUCUGUGUAACACUCCGUACAUUUUUUUAGUAAUAAUGUAAUUUCAAUAACUUUAUUAUUUGAAAUUUUAGUAAUUGUUAUUAGUUGGAGGGCAUUUUUGAAUUUUUUGACUUAUAGUAUAAGUGCAAGAAUUUAAUGUUGGCGUGAAAUUAUUCAAUUUGAAAUUCAAAUUGAAAAUUAAUGGCAUGAAUUAAUUUUAUUUUGAAACGGAAAGGAAUUUAAUAGUAUAAAACGGAAAGGAAUUAAAUGUAAUUAUAUUUACUUCCUCUUUUGUUUUAUUAUUAUUAUUGUUUUUUUUAUUUAUAAAAAUUCAAACCCCACCCCCUUUUCUUCCUCAUGUUCGUGAGCCCGUCCAACGCUGCCCGAAGUCGCCGUGUCAGUUUCUUCUUCAUGACCUCCGUCCACCACUACUUAAGCAUCAUUCGCUUUUGCCGUCACUGGAUAUAUCGAUUUGGUUUGUGAAGGUAUUGAGGUGUUGUUCAAUGAAGUUGGAGUUUGUUUUAGCGAGUUUUGG